rnacentral:lncRNA from 1 species
CCAUUUUUGCCCUUUGCUACGAUCUGAUUUUCUCAGAGUUUGGAUUGAUCCCAAGUAAUGAUUUUUUGGGGAUUGAUUCGUUACUAGUUGAAUCUCAUCUGUGCAAAGUUUGGGCGUUUUUCGUUGGGUUUUUGGUCGAGUUUCCUUUGUUUUUCUUCAGGGAGUUUUUCUGUUCGUCGCUCUGUUCUUGGGCUCUCGUGUGCAAGGUUUGUCUCAGCAGUAUUCAAUGGCAGCAGCACCCUCGCCGGCCUGUAUGCCGUGCACGCUCAUCAGAGCACUGCUUGCCUCUCUUUUGUGCUGAUUGGUUACGCUGCCCAUGGCUCGUGGUACUCCCUCCGUCCACGAAAGAGUUAAUUUCUAGAGUUGUACUAAGUCAAACUUUUUAAACUUUGACCAAAUUUCUAGAAAAAAGUGCUAAGAUUUAUAGUAUCAAAUUAGUAUUAUUAGAUUCAUCAUAGAAUAUAUUUUCAUAUAAUGUGCAUUUUAUAUUAUAGAUGUUGUUACUCUUUUCUAUAAAGUUAGUUAAACUUUAAAAAGUUUGACUGGCACGGAUCCUAGGAAUUGAUUCUUUCGUGGACGGAGGGAGUACUUGCUAGUUCAUGUACGGCACAGCACAUCCCCUGGCCGAUACGUUUCUGCUGGAGUGGACCUCCUAGCGCUGCAGCAGCUGUCCGGCAGUGCAGCCCCUGCCCAGCGCUCUGUCUUGCUGUAGCGUGUUGCCGUGAUCUCUCUUCUCCCUGUUUUGUUUCUCUGUCAGUAGGAGAGCAGUUCCUACGUUGGUGUGUAUGUAAUUUCCUUGCUUACUUUUGAUUGUUCGAUGGCAGAGUUUGUGCAUCAGUGAUCUACUGAAUUUCAUCAAAGUGCUUCCUGUGCUGUGCGGACUGUUUUGUUUCUUCGUUUGAUUCUUUGUUGGAUGUGAAGGUCUGUGGUUCCUAUUGGCCAGCAACUAUUGCUCUCCUGGUGUUUGCUUAGCAGUGCGUGCGCUUCACUGUGCUUGCUAUUCCUCUUAG